rnacentral:rRNA from 1 species
UACGUAGGGUGCGAGCGUUAAUCGGAAUUACUGGGCGUAAAGCGUGCGCAGGCGGUGAUGUAAGACAGGUGUGAAAUCCCCGGGCUUACACUGGGACUGCAUUUGUGACUGCAUCGCUGAGUGCGGCAGAGGGGGAUGGAAUUCCGCGUGUAGCAGUGAAAUGCGUAGAUAUGCGGAGGAACACCGAUGGCGAAGGCAAUCCCCUGGGCCUGCACUGACGCUCAUGCACGAAAGCGUGGGGAGCAAACAGG